CCUACGGGUGGCUGCAGUGGGGAAUAUUGGACAAUGGGCGAAAGCCUGAUCCAGCCAUGCCGCGUGUGUGAAGAAGGCCUUCGGGUUGUAAAGCACUUUCAGUGGGGAAGAAAGCCUUGGGGCUAAUACCCUCGAGGAAGGACAUCACCCACAGAAGAAGCACCGGCUAACUCCGUGCCAGCAGCCGCGGUAAUACGGAGGGUGCGAGCGUUAAUCGGAAUUACUGGGCGUAAAGCGCGCGUAGGCGGUCUGAUAAGCCGGUUGUGAAAGCCCCGGGCUCAACCUGGGAACGGCAUCCGGAACUGUCAGGCUAGAGUGCAGGAGAGGAAGGUAGAAUUCCCGGUGUAGCGGUGAAAUGCGUAGAGAGCGGGAGGAAUACCAGUGGCGAAGGCGGUCUUCUGGACUGACACUGACGCUGAGGUGCGAAAGCGUGGGUAGCAAACAGGAUUAGAUACCCGGGUAGUC
rnacentral:rRNA from 1 species